CGCAAUGCUCCACCAAAUAUGUUAAAUAAAAAGACUUCACUGAAAGCCAUAGGCAUGUUUUCCCACUUUUUCAAAAAGUGCUUGAUUCCUUUUCCGCAAGCCUUGACACAUUGUGCCAAGAAAAUUACAGUUACUUUAACUGCCUUGGUCCAAGUUUCAUAGAAGUCUAAUGAGUUAGUGACUGAAGGUAAGAAUAACCCCAUUGUCUCACUUACAAGUCAAGAAUAUUAAAGCCAAAGUGCAAACAAGACACCAAAAUCCAAAUAAUGUCCAUUCCGCUGCACCAUAAUUUUUAAAAAAAGCGUCCUUAUACUUUAGAUAACAAACUGCUGGAGCAUUGAAUAGAAUGAUUGAAGUGAAUGAUAUUAGCAGUUUUAUCAACAAAGGGGAAGAAUUAUCUGUCGACCUGGAAGGAUUGUUUUCUCUAUGUGUGUUAGGAGAAUUGCUUAAACGUGCAUGAUCUGUUUAAAUUAAUAUGAUUGAAAGACUUU